rnacentral:rRNA from 1 species
UGGAAGGUUAAGGGGAUCUGUUAGAGCAAUCGAAGCAGUGAACUUAAGCCCCAGUAAACGGCGGCCGUAACUAUAACGGUCCUAAGGUAGCGAAAUUCCUUGUCGGGGAAGUUCCGACCCGCACGAAAGGCGUAACGAUUUGGGCACUGUCUCAACAACAGACUCGGUGAAAUUGUAAUUCCGGUGAAGAUGCCGGAUACCUGCGACAGGACGGAAAGACCCCAUGGAGCUUUACUGUAGCUUGACAUUGGGUCUUGGUACUACAUGUACAGGAUAGGUGGGAGGCUUUGAAACCAGG